UGCGCAAUGUAUGGGUGCAGUAAUUACAGAGUUCAGAAGGAUGCCAAGUCAUUUUUUUCUUUCCCGAAGUCUGACAUCUAUAAAGAGUGGGUGCACAAAACAAAGAGAGCUGACCUUGAUGAAAGUGUCAAACUUAGAGGUCCAGAUUGUCUCAAAUAUUUGAAAGUGUGUGAAAUACAUUUCAAGGAUGAUGACUUUAGAAAUCCAAGAAAUAAAUCCCAAGGGUUAAAAAAAGGAGUUGUUCCAAGUCUACAUGUUUAUAAUGGAAGCACGAAGGUAGAUUCCAGGAGGAGUCCAAAGAAACGGCCUCGGUUGGAUACAUCAAGCCCCUCUAGAUGUUCAAACAGAACAAAUACACUGCCACAAAAUUGUGAAAAUUCAGGUAAAAUUCUGUGAUAUUUCCUCCUUCAAGAUUCCAGAUUUGUGUGUUAUUAAAUAGCAUAAUCAGUACCAAGUAUAAAACUCUUCAGUUGCUUAUGUACAAGGCCAUAUUCUAAUCAAUUUAAGUAUGCCAAUUGCUUCACAAAACUAAUUGUGCUUGUCAUAUCUUUCUGGUGUGGCCUUCUGAAAUAAAAAUUUUAAAUUUUUUCAAUGCCAAAUACAAUUGUAACUCUUGCUGGUCCAGCAAGUGUGCUCGAGGUCAGAGAAAAUACUUAAUUGCAGUUGUCAGUUUUUAUGUUGUGUACUGUACAGCAGCAGUUAACAAAUCAUUUGUGUUGGAAUUAUGUUUGUUUUCAUUGAAAUACUUGUCUGUUUUGCCUAAACCAAAACAUUAUUUUGUGGUGCAUGAUCACAUAGCAUUGAAAUGAUCUCUCACAUCUGCGAUCAAUAUUUACAAACUGGUUGGGCAGCGAAUAUAAUAAGCAGUCGGUGACUUAUAUUUUUUUUAUCAGAGUGACAAAUGUAACUUCGAUUGAAGUGGGAUGCAGUGCAAUUGUAAUUUAACUUUUGUUUUCAGGGCCUCUUCCAGAUGCGAGGCUACCAAAAAGAAAUAGUACUGCUAUUUAUUUGCAAAUGCAAGCUGAGGUAAGGAAGUUGAAGUUAGCACGAAGCAGAAUUUCGAAAUUGAAGAAAACAAUACAAAAACUAAAAGAAACUAAAGAACUCCCUAGAACUUGUACUGAUAUUGAAGAUGGGAAUUGUUGGGCUAGUGUUUUCAAAGAUAAAGAUAGCUUCCUUUUCCACCAGCUAAAACUGAAAUGUAAAAAACUGAAGGCUCGAAGAUAUACUGAGUCAGACAAGAGUUUUGCUUUAGCUCUUCAUUAUUGUUC